rnacentral:rRNA from 1 species
UACAGAGGGUGCAAGCGUUGUUCGGAAUUAUUGGGCGUAAAGAGCGCGCAGGUGGUUGAUUAAGUCUGAUGUGAAAGCCCACGGCUUAACCGUGGAGGGUCAUUGGAAACUGGUCGACUUGAGUGCAGAAGAGGGAAGUGGAAUUCCAUGUGUAGCGGUGAAAUGCGUAGAGAUGUGGAGGAACACCAGUGGCGAAGGCGGCUUUCUGGUCUGUAACUGACGCUGAGGCGCGAAAGCGUGGGGAGCAAACAGG